rnacentral:rRNA from 1 species
UGGGGAAUAUUGCACAAUGGGGGAAACCCUGAUGCAGCGACGCCGCGUGAAGGAUGAAGGAUUUCGGUUCGUAAACUUCUAUCAGCAGGGAAGAUAGUGACUGUACCUGACUAAGAAGCCCCGGCUAACUACGUGCCAGCAGCCGCGGUAAUACGUAGGGGGCAAGCGUUAUCCGGAAUUACUGGGUGUAAAGGGUGCGUAGGCGGUUUGUUAAGUUAGAUGUGAAAGCCCGGGGCUCAACCUCGGGAUUGCAUUUAAAACUGGCGAACUAGAAUACAGGAGAGGUAAGUGGAAUUCCUAGUGUAGCGGUGAAAUGCGUAGAUAUUAGGAGGAACACCAGUGGCGAAGGCGACUUACUGGACUGUUAUUGACGCUGAGGCACGAAAGCGUGGGGAGCGAACA